ensembl:misc_RNA Y_RNA Y RNA
GGUUGGUCUGAAAGUAGUGAGUUAUCACAAUUAAUUGUUCAGUAAUUUACAGCUCUAAUUCCUUGUUCUACACCACCUCGCUCCACUACUGCACUAGACUAGUCUUAA